rnacentral:rRNA from 1 species
AUGGCCAUGGCCAUGUUCACGAUAGCCGCCCACGUCCUCCGCCGCCUGCCUGCGAUGAGCGCGGCCCGGUCGUGUCCGGCGCACAACCAAGGCCGCAGGUUUCUCACUACGAACAAGGUGCACGGCCUCUUCAUCAACUACAUCGACCACUGCCGGCCGCACCUCUUCGCCCGCCCCUCCCCCAACUCCAUGGUCGACCCCAUGCUUGACUUCCUGCCCGACGACAACGAUCGGCGCUGGUGGUGGUCGAUCCUGGACCACAGCAACGGCCUCCUCCUCUGCAACAUGGGACCGGGCGAGCUCUGCGUGCUUAACCCGGCAACGAGGCGGUGGACAAUUCUACCCUGGCCCCGGCAGGCACCGGCUGCGCUUGAUCCUGCAGUGCCUGGGGAGCCACCGUCGCUAGACCCGUCAUCUGUGGACAAGGAUAAUGACUUGCGCCACUUGAUGGAACUGGAAUCGCCACGGACUUCAUGGGCGUUGAUGAGGAUCUUAAGGGUACCGCCCCGGCACGAUCUUUGUGCCGGCGUGUACCUUGCAUUUGAUCCUGCUGUGUCGCCGCACUAUGAGCUGUUGACGAUCCCUGCCAUACCUGGCGCGCCUAACAAGCUAGCAUUCAGAGCAGCCAAAGGAAGAAGCAGCAAUGAUAAUGAUAAGAGCCGCUUAAUGGAAUCGGAAUGGCCACCGACUAUUUGGAGGUUAAACAUGUAUUCAUCAAGGACUGGUCAGUGGGAGGAGAGGGAUUUCGUCCGCCAGGGAGAGCCGGCAGGAACAGUUGGAGACAUGCUCAAAGAUCGAGCUGAGCUAUCUUGGGGGCCACGCCAACGCUAUGCAGUGUAUUAUCAAGGAGCACUUUAUGUGCACUGUCGAGGUUCCUUUGUUUUGAGGCUUUCAUUGUCAAACGGUAUAUAUCAAGUGAUUAGAACACCAUCAUAUGGUGAGGGCAAGAUAUUUGGAAAACCGUAUCUAGGGAGAUCAGAGAAAGGUGUGUACUUUGGAAUAAUUGAGGAGUCCCAACUACGGGUUUGGAUCCUUAGUGAAUUAAGUGAACAACGGAUGGAGUGGAUCUUAAAGUAUGAACAUGACCUUGCCCAGUAUGCCCUACAUCUAGGAAAAUUUGAGCGCCAAAUGGAUGCACCUUGGAUGGUACAUGAUGUGUCUGACACUCAUCACGAGGCUGCUCAUGUUGGUGCUAAAACUUCGGGGAAAGUGAGAUUUGACUGGGAUUCUGACAAUGAUGACUUUUUUACAGUUAAAUUUGAUCCAAAUGAAGACCCCAAUUUCUUUGAUAUUCUUGGAUUCCAUCCUUGCAAGGGUCUUUCUGAAUCAAAUGUUUAG